rnacentral:tRNA from 1 species
GGGGUCAUAGCUCAGUUGGCCAGAGCGCACGGUUCACAUCCGUGAGGUCAAGAGUUCAAGUCUCUUUGUCCCCA